AUCAGGUCAAAGAAAUUACACAUUUUGAAAACAGAAAAUUUUAUUCAUAAGUAAGGUUACAUGAAAGUGAAUGAAAACUGUUAAGAUAUGAUAUACAAAGGUUUGAAAAUUUCUCCUGGAAUCCUCCCCAUAUUAUAUACUAAAAAUUCAUAAAUAAGUUAUGUUGUUCUGUGCAUGUGGUCUGUUUCAUUUUGGAGGAAAAAAUAAAAAGCACAGCAGUCAAGUUUAAUUUAAUGAAGCAUUAUACAAGAAUAAGAAACAACUGAAGGAUCUCACACAAUAAUUAUCUUCCCAGUACAAAAUCAUUGGUCUUUCUGACAAUGUAUGUAAAUUGUACAAAAUCAUUCAUUUAAUACCUAUACUUUUCAGUAAAAAAAUAAAGAGAUUCAUCCGUAAGUUUUUCUUUUCCUAUCUAUUCAGACCAGGCCUUACCCAUUUAGCAUUUAGAGCUAACAGAACUGAACAUUAUAUAUAAACUGAUUUUAUGGUUGUUUCAAAGCUACAAUAUUUUGUAUAAAAAAAUGAUGCUUUAAUUUCUACACAGUUUCAAUCUUUUUAAAAAACUUUCAACUUAAAGGUUUAAAGAGUAUGGGAAAUGGCAAAUUCUUAAAAUAAAAUGUAUAAAAAAUGGAAUACUAGCUGUUACAAUAUAAAGAGAUCAGAUUUUGAUUGAACAAUAUCAACAAAGAGACCUUUCUUAAUUAAAUAGUCUAUUUUUUGACCUGUUCAUAAAUUUAUAAAAUUACCAUAGAUUUGAAAGGUUUGAAUGAAUUUACAAUUCUGACAAUUUCAGGGAUCAAACAUAUGCUCUUACACUUAUAAUUCCUUAGAGAAAUUUCAUAAAGGUAUGUAAAGUGAAACUAAUUUUCACUGAUCUUCUUUCAGUGUUGACCAAUAAACAAGAUAAGUUUUUACAUUGUACAAGCAGACAUAAAUUCAAUAUAAAUUGAACAGGAUAUACCAUAUUUCAUAACUGUGAUGGCAAUAAUAAGUAAGGCAGAAUAUAUAAAACUAGAGGCUCUAAAGAGCCUGUGUCGCUCACCUUGGUCAACAAAGGACACAGAUGGAUUCAUGACAUAAUUGUGUUUUGGUGAUGGUGAUGUGUUUUUAGAUCUUACUGUACUUAACAUUCUUGCUGCUUACAAUUAUCUCUAUCUGUAAUGAACUUGGCCCAGUAGUUUCAGUGAAAAAUGUUAGUGAAAAUUUACAAAUUUUAUGAAAAUUGUUAAAAAUUGACUAUGAAGGGCAAUAACUCCUUAGGGGGUCAAUUGACCAUUUUGGUCGUGUUGACUUAUUUUUAGGUCUUACUUUGCUGUACAUUAUUGCUGUUUACAGUUUAUCUCUAUCUAUAAUAAUAUUCAAGAUAAUAACCAAAAACGGCCAAAUUUCCUUAAAAUUACCAAUUCAGGGGAAGCAACCCAUCAACCGGUUGUCCGUAUCAUCUGAAAAUUUCCAGGCAGAUAGAUCUCGACUUGAUAAACAAUAUAACCCCGUCAGAUUUGCUCUAAUGCUUUGGUUUCAGAGUUAUAAGCCAAAAAAUACAUUUUACUCCCUAUGUUGUAUUUUUAGCCAUGGCGGCCAUCUUAGUUGGCUGGCCGGGUCAUCGAACACAUUUUUUGAAGUAGAUACCCCAUUGAUGAUUAUGGCUAAGUUUGGUUAAAUUUGGCCCAGUAGAUUUAGAGGAGAAGAUUUUUGUAAAAGUUAACAGACAACAACGGACACUUGAUGCCCAGUGAUGAGAAAAGCUCACCUAGCUUUGUGCGAGGUGAGCUAAAAAACAGGUAGAUUUUUGUUAGAUUUUUGUUAGAUUUUUGUAAAAGUUAACAACGGAGGACGACGGAAGAUAGGAAGUCCGACGCCAAGUGAUGACAAAAGUAAACUAGAGGCUCUAAAGAGCCUGUGUCGCUCACCUUGGUCUAUGUGAAUAUUAAAAAAAGGACACAGAUGGAUUCAUGACAAAAUUUUGUUUUGUUGAUGGUGAUGUACAUGUACAUCUUACUUUACUGAACAUUCUUGCGGCUAACAAUUAUUUCUAUCUAUAUUGAACUUGGCCCAGAACUUUCAGUGGAAAAUGUAAGUAAAAAUUUACAAGUUUUAUGAAAAUUGUUAAAAAUUGACUAUAAAGGGCAAUAACUCCUAAAGUGGUCAACUGACCAUUUCGAUCAUGUUGACUUAUUUGCAGUUUACAGUUUAUCUCUAUCUAUAAUAAUAUUCAAGGUAAUUCAGGGGCAGCAACCCAACAAUGGGUUGUCCGAUUCAUCUGAAAAUUACAGGGCAGAUAGAUCUUGACCUGAUAAACAAUUGUACCCCAUGUCAGAUUUGCUCUAAAUGCUUUGGUUUUUGAGUUAUAAGCCAAAAACU
rnacentral:lncRNA from 1 species